rnacentral:lncRNA from 1 species
UUGGUGAAGUUACACAUGCAUUUAUUAUGAGGGAAUUUCAUGGAGAUUCUGUAGAGCCAAAGCUGAACAUUUUAAUUCCGCCAAUCGUUCAUUGGCUAGAUGUCAUCUAGCUGGCUAGAAGUUCAAUUCUGAAGGCUUGGUUUAGCUACUGUAAAUUUCAGAUUUUCUUUUUUAAUGUAUUGUAUUUUCUUUACACCUCUAAAUAUAAUCAUUCAUCCAAAAAUAAAUUAUAAAGCAUGCUGCAAAUUUUCUAUGUUUUAGCUUUUAUAUUAACCAAAAUUGAAUUUGCUAAUUAUAUUUAUUUGCAUAUUGAAACCUAAACUUUAAAAUAAAAAAUUAUUUUAUGUAUUAUAAAACUUCUUUAGGUAAUAUCAGUCGUUCAAAACGUAGCCAUCACAAUUAUAAAUGUUUUUAAUUAUGUUAAUUGGUUCUUUGUAUGUUAUUUUUUAAAUAAAUGCUAGUGUAAUACUAUAACAGUAUGCUAAAAUUGAUAUAAAUAAUUUUUUUUAUCCAUUUUAUACUUAUUAAAAAUAGUUAAUUUAAGCACUCACACAUUUAAUCUAGACCCAAUCCUGAUUUCAAAACAAAAAUAAUUUAAAUAAUUUAAUAAUUUCCGACUAGCUAAUUAUAUAUCCUUCUCAAUUUCUCUAUUUUGCCGAUGUAGGAAACCAUUCCCACCAAACAAUGCGGCCAUCUCCCUUCCCUGAAAUCUCUCUUAGUCAAUUUGAUUCUCUGGUGUAUAUAUUAGACAAGGGUAAUUCUUAUAUCUUUUUCAUCAGCAUCAGCGAUCACAUUCUUCCCAUCUUUUAAGAUUCUUGCACUUGCAUGUUGCCCUAAUCUCAAAGGUUGCCUUGCCCCCAAUUUGUCUGAAAGAUGCAGACACGAUAGAUUGGCACGAGCACGGCCAUAAUUUAUUGGAAGGAGGAGGCUCUUCUGCUUUGACCUGUUAGUACUAUAAUUCAUUGACUGAAAUUGGCUAUAAUUUUGUAAUUUUGUAUAUGAUAUUUUGACUGAAAUUGGCUGUAAUUCAUUUUCUUUCUGAUUUUCUACCAAAAUGAUGCAAUCUUGAACUUGCAGUUUUCAGAAUUUUCAUUGCAAUAUCAGCGUCCAAUUUAAUGCCUAAUACUAAUGGGUCUUGAUAAAAAAUUUAUUAUAAAUAUAAUGACUUAUUUACUCAUUUUAUAAAAUGUCAAAGACCAAAAUACAAUUUCAUUCCAAAUCAGCAGCUCUCAUGCGGCUCUCAACCUUCUGCGUCGACCUCAAUUCAUAUUUUUUCUAAUGCUUCCUUUUGUUUUAUACUGGAAUAAAAGCUCCCCAAGUAUUCUUGCCCUCCAACUCAUCCGAUCCCACCUAUAAGGAAGAACAUAAGGAAAAGAAAGAACAAGCUUUCCAUUGCUUCUUAUAUGUGUUAUCUCUUUUACAAAAAGAUAAAAUACUUGCACAUCUAAGAAAAUUAAAUGCCAAUAAGUUUUCGCUAAGGGAUAUAUGAAUCAUCUUGAAGCCUAUGAUGUUUUGAAUUUGAGUCACACUAAUAAAUAAUUAAGAUAAAAAAUUGUCAUGAUCUUAUAAAACAAAUCAUAUCAAAAUGCUUCUUGAAAUUCAGGAAGAAAAAUUGUCAAGGAACUUAUGUAUAUAACAUAACUUUAGUUUAACAUUUAAUUUCUCUAGGAAAUAACUCCACAGAUAGGCAAAUGAUAACUUCUUUCUACAUAUUCAUUCCUUCUACCUUUUGUUUUGCAUAAAAACUGGGGAAAACUAACUACUUUGCUUCUUCUCCUUAGAGAAUGUAAUGCUCUAUUGAUCUUAUUGAUUGCUUCUACCUUUUGUUUUGCAUAAAAACUGGGGAAAACUACUUGGCUUCUUCUCCUUAGAGAAUGUAAUGCUCUCUUCCACACCUUAUAUAUUGGCUCAUUAAUUAUGGAUUGCAUCAUCUCUCACAAACCCACAAGUUUUCCCUUUACUUUCUUUCUUUUCAUCUUGCCCUAUUUUCAGUCGUUAUCCUUCUAUAGAUGGCUGAACAAAUCCCAUUUAGCAUUGCGGAAAACUUAUUAACAAAGUUGGCCUCAAUUGCUUCUGAAGAAAUUAAUUUGGUGUAUGGCUUUAAAAAUGAUCUUAGGAAGCUUCAAACCACUCUCUCCACCAUCAAAGCAAUACUUGCAGAUGCUGAGGAGAAACAAGAGGAAAGUCGUGCAGUGAAGGACUGGAUAAGGAGGCUUAAAGAGGUUGUUUAUGAUGCAGAUGAUUUGCUGGAUGACGUAGCAACUGAAGGGUUGCGAAGAAAGGUUCAAGGUGAGGGAAGAAUAGUUAGGAAGGUAUGCGACUUCUUUUCUUCAUCCAAUCAAAUUGCAUUUCGUUUCAAGAUGGGUCAUAGUAUUAAAGAUAUUAGAGAGAGGCUGGAUGAAAUCGCCAAAGAAAUGUCUGACUUUGGCUUUAUAAUUAGGAAGGAAGCUGGAGUAUGUAUGGGAAUAAAGAAUAGUUGGAGGGAGACAGACUCCUUUGUAUUGAAAUCAGAAAUUAUAGGAAGAGAUGAAGAUAAGGAGAAGGUCAUAGAAUCAUUGAUGUGUCCAGUCAAUCAAAGCAAUAUUUCUGUAGUUGCAAUUGUAGGGUUUGGUGGCUUAGGAAAGACUGCACUUGCCCAAUUAGUGUUUAAUGAUGAGAAAGUGGUGAAUUAUUUUGAUUUGAAGUUAUGGGUAUGUGUUUCUGAGGAGUCAAAUGUUGAAACGCUAGUUAAACUUAUCCUUAAAAGUGCAGGCAAUAAUGAAGUUGACAACUUGUCUUAGGAACCGUUACAAAUUCGCCUUAGACAAUGUUUAGAAGGCAAAAAGUACUUGCUGGUGUUGGAUGAUGUGUGGAAUGUAAACGAUAGGAUUUGGAGUCAAUUGAGGAAAUAUUUGAUGGUUGGUGCCACAGGGAGUAGAAUUUUAGUAACUACUCGUAGUAAGAGGGUUGCUUUAGCUAUGGGUGUAGACUCUCCAUACCCUUUACAGGGUCUAACUGAAGAUCAAUCAUGGGAUCUAUUUGAGAAGCUAGCAUUUAGAGAGGGAACAGGAAGAGUGAAUUCAAAUCUAAUAGAAAUUGGGAAAGAAAUUGCAAAGAAAUGCAAAGGAGUUCCACUUGCAAUUAGAGCUAUAGGAGGCAUAAUGCAAGUAAGAAAUAGUGCAAGUGAAUGGUUGUCUGUCCUAGAAAAUGAGUUGUGGAAGGUCUUCGAGAGUGAUGGUGAUAUUAGUCAAGUGUUGGAAUUGAGUUAUGAUGUCUUACCAUACCAUUUAAAGCAGUGUUUUGCAGACUGCGCAAUGUUUCCAAAAGAUUAUGCGUUCGUUAAGGAUAGAUUAAUUCAGUUGUGGAUGGCACAAGGCUAUGUUCAGUCUCGGGGUCAAAGUGAAAAUGAAAAUGCAGAGGAGAUUGGGGAAGGAUACUUCAAUGAAUUGUUAUUUAGGUCAUUUUUCCAAAAGGAUGAGUAUUGUUAUAAAAUGCAUGACCUUGCUCAGUCAAUAGCAGGGGAUAGUUGUUUUGUAGGUAAUGAUAAUGCUAAACAUAUUCCUAAUAGAGUCCAACAUGUGUUUUCUGGAAAUUUGUCUUUUGAGGAAUGCUUUACGCAGCUAAAAAAUAAAGGACUGAGGACACUGUAUUAUCCAUAUUCUGGUGAUGGAUUAAGGUUGAAUUUAGAUAGUCUCUUUUCAAAUUGUAGGAGCAUACGUGCUUUGAGUUUUGGAUGGAAUAUCAAUGGAUUGCCAGAUUCAAUUGGAAAGUUGAAACACCUGAGGUACCUUGAAUUGUUUAGAAAUACUGAAAUCAGUUCACUUCCAAACUGCAUUUGCGGCUUGUAUAAUUUGCAAACUCUAAUACUAUGGGAAUGUUGGGGUCUUAAAGAAUUACCUACAGACAUGAGGAAGUUGAUUUGUCUCAGACAACUUAUUAAUAAAGGUUGUGGUGGGCUUGAAUUCAUGCCAUUGGGGUUGGGGAGAUUAACAAAUCUGCAGACUUUGUUAAAUUUUGUUGUGGGAAGUGAUCAAGGAAGGAGAUGUUCCUCAUUGAAUGAGUUGAAUAGCUUAAACCGGCUAAGAGGUGAAAUCUCCAUUGAAGGACUAGAAAAUGUGAAAAAUGCAGCUUUGGAGUCCAACCUAGUAAAUCUCAAAGAAAAGAAACACCUUUUCUGCCUAAGAUUAAGGUGGGAUGGCGAGGUAGAUAGCAAUAGUGGAAAUAGUGAGUUGUUGCUGGAUAACCUACACCCUCACCCGAACUUGAAAGAAUUGGAUGUUGUGUGCUAUGAAGGUGUGAGGUUUUCAAAUUGGCUUUCUUCUAUCACAAGUCUCGUCAAUAUUACUUUAUAUAAAUGUCCAAAAUGUGAGCAUUUGCCGCCAUUGGACAAUCUGCCUUAUCUGGAAAUUCUCAAUCUUAGCUAUUUCGAUUCUCUGGAGUACAUAUCAGAUGAAGAAAAUUUGUUCUCUUCUUUAUCUGCAUCAGCAGCAACAUUCUUUCCAUCUCUAAAGAUUCUUAGAGUCAAAUUUUGCCGUAAUCUGAAAGGGUGGUAGAGAACAUUUAUGGAAGCAAAGAUGGUGCCUCAAUUUCCUUGUCUUUCUAAAUUAACCAUCAAAAAUUGCCCUAACCUGACUUUGAUGCCAAUGUUUCCAUCACUAGACAUGGAGCUUGAUCUUGCCUAUGCCCACAUAAGACCAUUGCAUUAUACAUUGCAGAUGUCUGCAACGGCUUCUGGAGUACCAUCAACCUCUCCUUCAGUUACUUCUCCUUUUUCCAAAUUAAAGACUUUGUGGUUACAGGGUAUUGAGAAUCUAGCAUCUCUACCUGGAGAGUGGAUGCAGAACCUCAGCUUCCUUGAGGAACUAUUGCUUAGCAACUGAAUGGAAAUUAGUGAUGAGGAUGAGCGUGGCAUAUUCAAAUGGAGAUAUCUUGUUAGUGUCCGAGAUCUCUCUCUCUAUAAUCUUCCAAAUCUGGUGUCUCUACCAAGGGAGCUUCAAUAUGUUACCACCUUGCUACGUCUCAAUAUCUACGAAUGUUCUAAUUUGAGGGCUUUGCCUGACUGGAUAGGCAACCUCACAGCACUCGAAAAUCUAUAUAUCCUUGACUGCCCUAAACUGGAAUCGCUACCAAGAGGAAUGCAUCUAAUAACUACUUUACAACAAUUGAGUGUUCGCCAUUGCCCCCAUUUGUCUGAAAGAUGCGGACACGAUAUGGCUGCAGAUUGGCCCAACAUUUCUCACAUCCCAAAUAUCCAUAUAAAUGGAAAUGAUAUUCAAAAGGAGGGCCGGUAUUUAUUGUAAGAAGAAGGUCCUCUGCUUUCACAGGUUAGGACUUUCUUCGCUUCAUCUCCUUAGCUACCUAAUUUUUUCAAACAAAUACUUCUAUCCAUUAGGCUACUUUGUUCUGUCUUCAUCUUAUCUAUCAAAGUUAACUUACUUUUCUGAUUCUAUAUGCAGAGAUGCUGGAAUAUAUGUUGCUCUUUUACACCACCAACCUUUUUCAAAUUUUAGAAUGGCUCUUAUGAUGACAGGUCGAUAACAAAACUUCAAAAUCAAAUACUACGUUAUUUCUAUCAGUAAAUCACACUUAUGAGCUAUAUUUUUCUCACAGUUUCACCUUCUUGCUACCCUUUAACAUCUGAAGAAUAUUUUAUCCUCAAUUAUGUAGUAAAAUUGUCUGGUUGAAGAUGUUUGUUGAAAGUUCCAUUUUGUCUCAUAUUUUAGAUUUACUUGUUUUUUGAGGUAUUUCAAUUGUUUCCCACUAAUUAAUUUUCUGAAUGGCUAAUAGAACUUUGAUUGAUUAUACAACUCCGAGCAUUGUGAUUCUUCAAAUUCUGAACACGAAUUAUGUCCGCAGGCAAUAGAAGCAAAUGAGUUUUGUGGUGUGACAGAUGAUUUCUGGAUGUUGUAAUUGACUCAUUGACUAUUAUACAGGUUCUUAUCUCUUUACCAGAAUUUUGGGAUUGUAUAUUUUUUAAAAAAUUUUUGCCAUAUUUUAUUAUUCUUUUAAUAUUGCCGUAAUUUAGCAAUGAACUUUUUUAUUUUGUCUUAUACGCAGGACUGGAGGGAUGUGGAUAACUUGAAUUAACUCUUGGAAUAGACAUUUCAAUUAAUUUUGCACUUUUGGAAGCAAUCGGAAUUUGCAUUCUGUAUCUAAACGUCAAUUGCUCUGCAACUUACGUUGCAUCAUCACUACUCCUUUGAGAAUGGAGAAGCAAGCCACUCGAAGCAAGGUCUAGGAUCAGAGCAGCAGAUCCUGGAGCCUCAAGGACUGGUAUCUUUCAAGAGUCAACAAGUGAGGUUCUGUGAUAUAAGCAGGGCUGGAAGGAUGUUAAUACCUGGUAUAUUUGCAAUCAUUGUUCUAUCCUGAUAGUGAAUUUUCUGAAUUUAAUUGCAAUAUGUUCAUGUGUUAAUCCUUGCAGGCUACCAAGCAUGCAAUUGAUUUUAAGCAAAGGUUGGAUCUCAUGUUUAAUUUGUUGUUUUAUAAUAAUUUGAAUGUUUUGAAAGUUAUCAAAGCAUCUUCUGGUUUGGUCUCUCCUGAAUUGUUUGAGAAUAAAAUAGUGGCUCCAUGAAUUCCUAGAUUCUUUGAAAGUGAGAUGGAUGCCAAGUGUCUUAGAGUAGGAGUGGAGGGAAUAAUCGAUGCUGUGAAUUCACUUGUUCUUCUUUCAGAGUAGGCAGCUUUUGGCUCAGCCGUGGAGAAAUGUUCUGCUGUCGUGACAAAAAAUGGCUUCAGAAUAGGUAAUGGUAAAUAUUGUAACAGCUCGGAAACCGAACUAUUACUGGCGCUAGGAUCCAGAUCGGCUUAAGGCCGUCGGGACCCGUAGCAAGCCUACUGUGACCUCUGUGUACCUGUGAAAACUCAUACAUAAUCAUACAUCUGUAAAAAUUAAAAUCUUUUCUUCCUUUUUCGAAGGCUUAACCUGUGCAUACUAUACUUUACACCAUAAACCCCUACUAGAGCCCUCAUCAUAGCUCUAGGCGGGCUAAACUCAUCAUGUGUUAAGCCUGGUUUUCAUAUGCAUACCAUGAAACAUUUUUAUAAAAGUGAUCAUGUACACAACAGAAUAGCAUCAUUUCUUACUAGUCAAGCACAAUCUAUACACUAUACAUCAUCAUUAUCUCUUUACAAUUACAUGUCCAUUCUAGCUAUUACAUAAUCUUCAGAUCUUCUAUACCCUGCUAACCUCGCUCUGGACUCUGAACCUGCAAAACUGGGGUUAAGGGAGAGGGAUGAGCUAUACUAGCCCAGUGAGCAGAACUAUAAAACAAGUGAUAAAAUUAUGCUUUCAUGGAAUGCAUCAUAACACAGUUAUAUCAACGUCUGUUACAUCAUCCGUAUGGGUUCACGCAAGCGUUCUUCCCCAGAGAGUUCACGCAAGCGUCCUUCCUCUCACGGAAUCAUCAUCAUUUCAUCAGCACAGAAUAAUGCAAUGCAUCAUCUUCGUGAAUUCUAAUGCAAACAACCUAUAACAUCAUCAUGAUGCAUGAAACAUGAUAAAAGUAUGUGAUUUUCCAUAUUAAAAUAGUUAAGUUUAGUUCCACUCACCUUUGGCUGACUCUAAUCUAACUCUGCAGGUUCUGAAGCAGUGCUCACUGCUGCUCUCUCUGGUUCCUCUGGUCCGUUCCUACACAGGUGGACUUAUAUGAGGUACCAAAUUAACAUAAGAACGACUCUAAGAAACUCCCCAAAACCCCUCUAAAAGAUCCUAAAACAACCACAUAAAGCAUGCAAAAUAAGGCUGGACGGGGCACUUUCGACGGCAGGUUCGGCGGCCGAAAGUCCAGUCCAGAGACGAAACUCAUGCACUUUCGGCGGCCGAACCUCUACUUUCGGCGGCCGAAAGUCCCUUUACCCUCCUUCGGCAUCCGAAAGUCUCGUCCAGAGACGAAACUCAACUUUCGGCGGCACUUUCGGCGGCCGAACCUUGCCUCCAGAGACGAAAGUCCAAAUUUUCGGAAGCAAGCUUUGGCAGCCGAAACUGCCUCCACAAGGGGUUCGGCGGCCGAACCUCUCUUCGGCGGCCAAACCUGGCCUUGCCCGAAGGGCAGAGACUUGCUCUGCUUCAUGCAAACUUCUCCCCAACUCCUCUCAACAUGCAUACCAACUUCUCUCAACUAGCAUAUACUCAAGUAUAUGCACAAAGGGGUCUAAAACUAACCUAUAACCCCAAACAAACUUAGCACAUAACACUUAAACAUACUUAAACACAACAUCUCCACAUAAACCUCAUCUAACCUAAUCAUGCAUACUACCCAUAAAACUUCCAUAAAACCUUUAAAAAUCAUCAAAGAAGCUCAGGAUCUUCACUUACCUCUUAAAGAACCUGAGGAUGAAGGAUCCUAACGUGGAGUUGUGAAGAAAUCUACUCUCCAAGCUCCAAACUUCAAAACUUGGUUAUUUUGCUCAAAACCUUCAAAACAUGCAUAAACUCUUCAAAACCUUGAAAGAUUUAAUGAAAAUCAUGAAAAACAUAAAAGUCAACAUGGAGAGGGUUUGGCUCACCUCUGGCUGCUGGUGAAGGAGAAAAUAUCUCCCCAUCACCGACCUUUGGCCCUUUUAUAGGUGGCUGGCCAGACCACCUUCAGCAGCCGAACGUGACGCCUAAACCAUGCAAGGUUCGGCGGCCGAAAGUGACCUUCGGCGGCCGAACAUGUGCAUUUCUCCCAAAUUGCUUUUCUUUCAAAACUCAAUCCUUUUAACUCUCUAAAACAUUAAAACAUCUUAAAACAUCUUAGAAAACAUAUGUACUACCCUUCUAGAGGGUUCCGACACCCGAGAUUCCACUGGACUACAGGAAUUCCGAUGCCGGUCUCUAGCCGGGUAUUACAUUCUCCCCCCCUUAAGAACAUUCGUCCCCGAAUGUUCCUCAAACAUUUAAACACAUAAGCACAUAGAAAAGGGGAAAACUAACCUUAAAACAAAUAUGGGUAUUGCUGGAGCAUAGACUCCCGUGUCUCCCAGGUGCACUCCUCUAGAUUAUGGUGGUUCCACAAGACUUUCACCAUCGGUGUCUCUUUGUUCCUCAGCUUUCUGAUCUGUGUGUCCAGAAUCCGUACUGGCUGUUCCACAUAGGUGAGAUCUCCUAGGAUCUCUACAUCAGGCUCACUGAGAACCUUACUCGGAUCUGACACAAACUUCCUCAACAUAGAAACAUGAAACACCGGGUGAAUUCUCUCCAUAGAUGCAGGCAAAUCCAGCUUAUACGACACAUUCCCGAUCUUCUGCAGGAUCUCAAAGGGACCAAUGUAUCGUGGAGCUAGUUUACCCUUCUUCCCAAAGCGAACCACUCCUUUCAUCGGAGACACCUUUAGCAAUACCAUAUCUCCCUCCUGGAACUCUAUCUGCUUCCUACGGACGUCUGCAUAGCUCUUCUGUCUACUAACAGCUGUCCUGAUCCGUUCUCUGAUAACAGGCACCAACCUGCUGGUAACUUCUACUAACUCUGGCCCUGCAAGAGCCUUCUCUCCUACCUCUUCCCAGCAAACAGGUGUUCGGCACUUCCUUCCAUACAGAGCUUCAUAAGGGGCCAUCCCUAUGCUAGCAUGAUGGCUGUUAUUGUAGGCAAACUCCACCAGAGGUAGAUGCUGCCUCCAAGAACCGCUAAAGUCUAACACACACAUUCUCAACAUGUCUUCAAUGGUCUGGAUGGUCCUCUCUGACUGACCGUCUGUCUGUGGAUGGAAAGCAGUGCUGAAAUCUAAUAUGGUGCCCAUCUCAGCUUGCAGACUCCGCCAAAACCGGGAGAUAAACUGUGGUCCUCUGUCUGAUACUAUUGAGACUGGAACUCCAUGCAGCCUCACUAUCUCUUCUACAUACACCUGCGCUAGCUUGUCCACAGAGUAGUUACUCCUGACUGGAAUGAAGUGAGCAGAUUUAGUCAGUCUAUCCACUAUCACCCAGAUGGAAUCUAAUCUGUUGGACGUCGCCGGUAACCCCACUACAAAAUCCAUAGCUAUGUUCUCCCAUUUCCACUCUGGAAUCGGCAGUGGGUUAAGCAUUUCAGCCGGCUUCUGGUGUUCUAGCUUCACCCUUUGACAAACUUCGCAGGCGGACACAUACUGUGCCACUUCUCUUUUCAUAGCUGGCCACCAAUACACUCUCUUCAAGUCUUGAUACAUCUUGGUGGCUCCAGGGUGAACAUUAUACCUCGCAUUAUGAGCUUCCCUCAUAAUGUCUUCCUUCAGACUGCUGUCAUCUGGUAUACAUAACCUCUUCCCGUACCGAAGAAUCCCCUCACUGUCAAAUCUGAACUCCGUACUGUUGCCAGACUGAACAGUCCUGGCAAUCUUCACUAACUCAGGGUCCUCGUGCUGUUUCAGAGCCACUUGCUCUAGAAACACGGGUGUAACUCUCAUCUGUGCUAUCAAAGCACCCGUACCAGAUAACUCCAACUGCAGCUCUUCAUCUAUAAGCCUGUAAAAGUCCUUCACCACCGGUCUUCUCGUCGCUGUAAUGUGAGAUAAACUGCCUAGUGACUUCCGGCUUAAGACAUCAGCUACAACAUUAGCUUUUCCCGGAUGAUACUGGAUCUUGCAAUCAUAAUCACUGAGCAAUUCAACCCACCGUCUCUGCCUCAAAUUUAGCUCUCUUUGACUCAAGAUGUGUUGCAAACUCUUAUGAUCUGUAAAGAUCUCACAUUUUACCCCAUAGAGGUAAUGCCUCCAUAUCUUAAGUGCAAAGAUAACAACUGCCAUUUUCAGAUCGUGUGUCGGGUAGUUCAACUCGUGCUUCUUCAACUGUCUUGAAGCAUAAGCUAUCACUCUGUCUCUCUGCAUCAACACACAACCUAAUCCCACUCGGGAUGCAUCACAAUACACUGUGAAGUCUUCAUCACUGAUCGGCAGAGCUAACACCGGUGCUGAAGUCAACCGUCUCUUCAACUCUUCAAAACUUUCAUCACAUUCCUCAGACCACACGUACUUCUGAUUCUUCCUGGUCAGUCUGGUCAUAGGAGCAGCUAUCUUCGAGAAGUCCUGAACGAACCUCCUAUAAUAGCCUGCCAAACCCAAAAAACUCUUGAUCUCGGUAACUGUAGUGGGUGUAGGCCAGUUGGCUACUGCUUCUACCUUCUUGGGAUCCACUGCUAUACCUUCAUCUGAUACUACAUGUCCCAAAAAGGAAAUGCUCCUCAGCCAGAACUCACACUUGGAGAACUUGGCAUACAAGCCAUGCUCUCUCAAAGUCUGCAAGACUAUCCUCAGAUGAUGGGCAUGCUCUUCUGCAUCUCUGGAGUACACUAGAAUAUCAUCUAUAAAGACGAUCACAAAGUGAUCCAGGUACUCCCUGAAGACUCUAUUCAUGAGAUCUAUGAAUGCUGCAGGGGCGUUAGUCAACCCAAACGGCAUCACUAGGAACUCAUAAUGCCCAUAUCUGGUCCUGAACGCUGUCUUGGGUACAUCCUUUUCCCUAAUCUUCAACUGAUGGUAUCCGGAUCUCAGAUCUAUCUUAGAGAAACAACCUGCUCCUGCCAGCUGGUCGAAUAGAUCAUCAAUCCUGGGUAGAGGAUACUUGUUCUUGGUAGUGACUUUGUUCAACUGCCUGUAGUCGAUACAAAGUCUAAGAGAUCCAUCCUUCUUCCUGACAAACAGUACUGGAGCACCCCAAGGUGAGGUACUCGGGCGGAUGAAACCCUUGUCUACCACCUCCUGUAACUGUUCUUUCAACUCUCUCAGCUCUGCUGGCGCCAUCCUGUAGGGAGGAAUAGAGAUCGGUCUUGUACCAGGUAGGGAUGUCAGGCGGGCGGGUUUUCGCGGGUACCCGAUCCGCCCAAAUCCUAUUAGGACGGAUUUGAGUUUUUAUAAAACGGAUUUGGGCGGGUUCGGGUUUGAAAAAUUUUACCCGUUUCGGAUUCGGGUAGGGUUCGGAAUUAGGUAAUCGGAUACCCGUUACCCGAACCCGAUUAACUAUACUAACAAAACUAACCUAACCCUAAUCCCUCAUCCCAUUUUUCAUUUUACAUAUUGCUCUCUCUCUCUCCUCUCUGUCGGCGUCUCUCUCCCUGUUUCCCUUCCCUCUCUCCCCAUUUCACUGACGAUGACUGUCGACAGCUCAAAUCGGCAACGCCUCCUUUCUCUCCCAGCGAUGAUAAAUCUUCUCUCCAGUCAGAGCGUUAUCUCCUUCUCUCUCUAGUCGGUGACAUCUCCCAGCGACAUCCCAGUCGACGAUAAAUAUUUUCACUCCAGUGGCGACAUCUCCCACUUCCGAGACAACUCUUCUCUCUCCUCGGUCGGCAUCGACGACAUCUCCUUCUCUCUUCCGAUUGCACUUGCCUCUCCCUAAUCGGCAUCAGCGACAUCUCCUUUGACUGAAACUCUCUUCAGGUUUGCUAUUUGAUUAUGCGUUGCUUUCUCUUCUCCUGAAACAGUUCACUGCUUUGAUACUGAAUGGAUUUUGCUUUUGAUUUUUUAUCCGUUUACUUCCCUACUACUUUGAUACUGGAUGGAUUUUGCUUUUGAUUUUUUAUCAUUGAAUUGAAUUAAAAAAAAUCGGGUUCGGUCGGGUUCGGGUAUUUUGCGGGUAUUGUUAAACGGAUUUGGAACGGGUACGAGUAAUAAAAUUAAAAUACUAAACGGAUUUGGAACGGGUUCAGAAAUUUUAUAUAUAAUCGGGUUCGGAUUUGGGUAAUCUUAAUUUCGCGGGUACCCUACCCGUUUACAUCCCUAGUACCAGGCAUCAAUUCAAUCUCGAACUCUAUUUCCCUAUCAGGUGGUAGUCCUGGAAGCUCUUCAGGAAACACAUCUGGGAAUUCUCUAACAACUGGUACUGUGGAUGGUUCCCUAACUUGCUUGUCUAGCUCUCUUACAUGAGCUAUGAACCCCUGACAUCCUCUCCUCAACAACCUGCGAGCCUGAAGGGCUGAUAUCAAACCCUUAGGUGUCCCCCUCCUAUCUCCUCUGAAGACACAUUCUGACCCAUCCUGGUCUCUGAAACUCACUACCUUGUCUCUGCAGUUCAAGGUAGCAUCAAACGUAGAUAACCAAUCCAUCCCUAGAAUGACAUCAAAAUCUGUCAACUCUAGAACCACUAGGUCGGCUGGAAGGUAUCUACCCUCUAUACAUACUGGACUGAACUGACAGACUGACUCUGCCAAUGAUGGGUCACAUCUGGGUCCACUAACCCAAAGAGGACACUCUAACUCUGAGACUAUCAAACCCAACCUCUCUGCGGCUCUAGAAGCAAUGAAAGAGUGAGAAGCACCGGGGUCCAUUAAAGCAUACACCUCUGAACACCCAAUGAUGAGAUUACCUGACACCACAGUGUUCGACGUGUCUGCCUCCUGUUGAGUCAUGGUGAAAAUCCGUGCUGGGGCUGACGGACCUGCACCUCGGGAACCCAUCCCUGAUGAAGAGGCUGCCCCUCUUCCUCUGCCUCUGCCACUGCUCUAUGGUAUGGCUGAAGCUGCUGGCUGUGCUACACUGCCCGAAGUCAUCUGCUGGGACGGUGCAACCAAAGUCGCCUGAGGAUAUUCCCGUGCCAUAUGUCCUUCUUGCCCACAUCUGUAGCAGGCUGUAGUCCCCAUCAGACAAACCCCUCUGUGUAGCUUUCCACACUUCUUACAUACUUGACUACUCGUGCCAGAGCUGGUGCCGCUACCCAUUCCCAGACCAGAUCUAAUCUUGUUCCAGAACUUUCCUCUUUUACCUCUUGCCUUCAUCCCCUUCUUGCUGCUCAUAGCUGUUGUACUCUGAGAGGAGGAUUCCAACUUGGAACCUGAAGACUGUGCCUUAGGCUGUUUAACUGUUCCCUGUAAAAUGGCACUUGCCUCCAUCUUCCUGGCUGCAUCCACAAUAGAGUGGAAGCUCUCCUUCUCUGCUGGAAGGAUCAAGGAGAAAUACCUAGGGUGGAGUCUUGUGGCAUAUCUCCUUGCCUUCUUCUGAUCCGUAUCAUAUGCCUGACCCACAUAGGGUAACAAUUCCAGGAACUUAUCUGUAUAUUCAUCCACUGACAUCUCCUCUGUCUGCCUUAACUGCUCGAACUCUACAACCUUCAUCUCCCUGGAACUGUCAGGAAAAGCCCACCCAGCAAAUUCAUUGGCGAACUCUUCCCAAGACAUGUUGUCUAUUCUGGAGUCCACAUAGCUCUUGAACCAUUCUCUGGCCUUCUUACACUUCAAUGUGAACCCUGCCAUUUCAAUGGCCCUGUGAUCAUCAGCUCCCAACUCACUUGUGAUCAUCCUGACCGCACUUAGAUACUCAAAAGGAUCAUCUCCCGUGUUGAACUUAGGAGCAUCCAACUUCAAAUACUCCGUCAUCUUCACCUUACUCCCCUCCGAGGUACUAGGCUGCUGUGCUUCAACAACCACUGGAGCUACUGGUUCAGGUGGUGGAGGUGGUGGAGGUACUGCUUCUCUUGGUUCAGGUUGUGCUGAACUUGUUGGAUAUUGUGGGGGUGGGUACAUGGAAUAAGGUGGAUAAAAGGGAGGAUAAGGCAUGUAAGGCAUAUAGGGUGGAUAUGGGGCAAAGCUAGAGUAAUCCGACGUACCUCCCAUCGGAUACCCGGGGUCCUGUGAAAAGGGUGGAUAGCCAUAUCCUGAGGCCUGUGCGCCUCCUUGGGACUCCCCCAUACCUUCCUCCGUCCUUCCCACACUCAUGCUUGCAUCUCUGCUCUGUUCAACACCUCUAGCUUCUCUUACUUCCUCUGAUCUUCCUCCUCUAGCUACUCCUCUUCUGCUCUCGUCAGAAGACCUUCUAGGGUCUCGUGACGUUCCCUCACUGCUUGACCUGUGUCUCCUUGCCCUUGGCAAUGCAGGAGGACGAGCAGCUGUACCCUCACUUUCAGGUGGGACUCUAGUCAAUCUUGUGGAUCGACGAGUUCCUCGCAUCUUACUCUCUGAAAACAACACAUAACAUAACACAUCAGCACAUAUAGUCCAUGUGAAACACAUGAACCUCAAGCAUACAUCACAUAUCAUAUAAUGCACAUGCAUGAAUCAUGGCAUUUCACAUCAUCAUCAAGUAGACAGGACUGACAUCCUAUCCUAGUGGACAUGUUUUCCUAUUGUGCUUGACCAACUAAACUUCAAAGAGCCCAUCUUUCUCUAUAGGUCCGAUCAUACGAACCUCGUGCUCUGAUACCACUCUGUAACAGCCCGGAAACCGAACUAUUACCGGCGCUAGGAUCCAGAUCGGCUUAAGGCUGCCGGGACCCGUAGCAAGCCUACUGUGACCUCUGUGUACCUGUGAAAACUCAUACAUGAUCAUACAUCUUCUGUAAAAAUUAAAAUCUUUUCUUCCUUUUUCCAAGGCUUAACCUGUGCAUACUAUACUUUACACCAUAAACCCCUACUAGAGCCCUCAUCAUAGCUCUAGGCGGGCUAAACUCAUCAUGUGUUAAGCCUGGUUUUCACAUGCAUACCAUGAAACAUUUUUAUAAAAGUGAUCAUGUACACAACAGAAUAUCAUCAUUUCUUACUAGUCAAGCACAAUCUAUACACUAUACAUCAUCAUUAUCUCUUUACAAUUACAUGUCCAUUCUAGCUAUUACAUAAUCUUCAGAUCUUCUAUACCCUGCUAACCUCGCUCUGGACUCUGAACCUGCAAAACUGGGGUUAAGGGAGAGGGAUGAGCUAUACUAGCCCAGUGAGNNNNNNNNNNNNNNNNNNNNNNNNNNNNNNNNNNNNNNNNNNNNNNNNNNNNNNNNNNNNNNNNNNNNNNNNNNNNNNNNNNNNNNNNNNNNNNNNNNNNNNNNNNNNNNNNNNNNNNNNNNNNNNNNNNNNNNNNNNNNNNNNNNNNNNNNNNNNNNNNNNNNNNNNNNNNNNNNNNNNNNNNNNNNNNNNNNNNNNNNNNNNNNNNNNNNNNNNNNNNNNNNNNNNNNNNNNNNNNNNNNNNNNNNNNNNNNNNNNNNNNNNNNNNNNNNNNNNNNNNNNNNNNNNNNNNNNNNNNNNNNNNNNNNNNNNNNNNNNNNNNNNNNNNNNNNNNNNNNNNNNNNNNNNNNNNNNNNNNNNNNNNNNNNNNNNNNNNNNNNNNNNNNNNNNNNNNNNNNNNNNNNNNNNNNNNNNNNNNNNNNGCCUAAACCAUGCAAGGUUCGGCGGCCGAAAGUGACCUUCGGCGGCCGAACAUGUGCAUUUCUCCCAAAUUGCUUUUCUUUCAAAACUCAAUCCUUUUAACUCUCUAAAACAUUAAAACAUCUUAAAACAUCUUAGAAAACAUAUGUACUACCCUUCUAGAGGGUUCCGACACCCGAGAUUCCACCGGACUACAGGAAUUCCGAUGCCGGUCUCUAGCCGGGUAUUACAAAUAUCAUAUGACCUUGUGAAUAGUGGUUUAAAAACAAUAUAGAAGAUUUUGGAAGAGAACUAAUACUCUUUGACAGAUUUACAGGUGAAGAUGGUAAUGAUACUUACAAAUUCAGUUCGCUUUGAAAGAAUAUGCAUUGGUUGUGUGGGAGGAAGAAUCCUUAACUUUUUUAAUCUUUCAUUGAGUGGACAGACAUCGUUUAAGGUUGCAAAUCUAAGAGCUGCUCUUUUCUUGUUCUUUUCACAAGUGUCUUCAUUAGUGAGCAUCCAUAAAAAGUAGUGAGCUAUUUCACUUGUGGGAACUACCAAUGGGAAAGCAGAAAGCUUAUACUCUCUCUAUCCAUGUGCUAAUCCUUGUAGGCAUUCAACAGAUACUGGAACCUCAACAACUCCCUCUGGGGGAACGAAGCAGAAAUUCUUACAUUUUUGAAAGGUAUAAUACCAUUUUAUAACUUUUCCUCACCAGCAUUAUGCUUAAGUUACAAUCAGCAUUCUGUAAUGAAAUAUCCAUUGAUUUAGUUUUUCACCGAGUGGACAAAUAUCUCUUACGAUAGCAAAUUGAAGAGCUCCUUUUUUUUUCUUUUUCACAAGUGUCAUCAUUAUAGAGAUGUGCAUCCAUCAGAAGUCCUGGGCUAUUCACUUAUGGCGAACUGCCACUGAGAAAGCAGAAUGCUUCUUAUAGAAACAUGAUGGUAAAAGAAUCCAAACUUCCUCUCUCUCCUUAAGUACUUUCCUCUUCAUUUUCUUAUAUGCCUCGGCUUUUAUUUUAUAGGCUCAAAGAAUCGCAUGCUUUUUCUGAUAUGUUGACUUGGAGCAGACAUUCAUUCUUGGAGUUCCAUUUAGUUGAACUCCUCCUCAUUGGAAGCUCUCCAAGGCCACACCAAAACCCCAGAAGGGCUUCAGCUCAUUACCGCUCUGCAAUUAAUGCCUCAGAAUUGGAAGCUGUCAGGCUUUGUUGUUUCAUAUCCCUCUGAUUAGAAGAAUCAUGGUGGAGAGAUGGUUCUUUUUCUGAUUCUUCAAGUCUUCCCCUUCCAGAAACUAUUGGAAGCAUUUCUGGACUAGAAAGGGAGAUGGUUGUCCCUGAAUUCUUACCAUUUCAUCACUUGCUAGUCUUGCUGAAGUUACACAUGCAUUCAUUAUGAGGGAAUUUCAUGGAGAUUCUGAGGAGCCAAAGCUGAACAUUUUAAUUCAGCCGCUCGUUCAUUGGCUAGAUGUCAUCUAGCUGGCUAGAAGUUCAAUAGAUUAUUUGGAUUCUGAAGGCUUGGUUUAGCUAAUGUUUACAUGUGCCAAUGAACUGUAAAUUUCAGAUUUUCUUUUUUAAUGUAUUGUAUUUUCUUUACACCUGUAAAUAUAAUCAUUCAUCCAAAAAUAAAGUAUAAAGCAUGCUGCAAAUUUUCUA